UCCCAUACUUGUGGAUUAAGGUAGGGAGACACAAAGGGAGGAUGUGAAGGAGGCUUUGAACUGGGGAAAAGGGUGGCAGUGAGGUUUGGCUGUAGCUCAGGAAUAGUCAGGGAAGCAGAUAAUUUAAUUAAAAUGUCUCGACCUAAUAAGGGAGCUGGGCAGGUGGGGAUAACUAAAAAGGGGUGCAUAAAAGAAUGUUGUCCAAGUUGGAACCAAAGUUGGGAAGUUUUAAGAAGUUUUGAAACUUCGCCGUAAAUACCACAACAGUUAACGGGGACAAGGGAAACAGGCCCUUCAAAAGAAGGUAAUGUGGAGUGGGUAGCCUCCAUAGAAGUUAAACACGGGUGGUGUCCUCUAUGAGGCGGUGCUGUCUUCAGAGAAUUUUCCUAUUUCUGUCACCUGGGCUCAUCCCUGCGUGCCCUGAUCUACCUGUCCAUGUACAGCUGCAGCACAUGCUUGAUGCCUGUCUAACCAGAGCGUUCUCAGCCAUUACACUGACUCAGUGUCACUGUGGGUGGAAUGAGAUGACAGACAUCUUGCAGGUCACAGAAGCACCAUAGGUAAAAUAAAAGCAGCUUCUGCUCUUCCUCCUCCAGUAGCUCAUGUUUGACUCCCAAAUCCUUCUCAAAUUGAGAAAUAUGUGGGUGUUUUAUUUCAUUUUCAAGGUUUUUCUCAGGAUUUGAAAUCUCCUACCUAAUAGUUACUGAAGUUUAAGAAAAGCAAAAUACAAAACUGCCCCCAAAUCUCUGGGCUGCUGUUAAUGAUCUCCCCUUAGGGUAUGGUGCUCAGAAAACCAAUGACUAAUGAUCAGACCAGUUUCUAUCCUAUCUUCAGGAACCAUCUACAUAGUUACCAUGUUGUGAGAAGCACCAAAACCCCAUCUGUAAUUCUGCUAUGGGCUGCCUGGCGCUGAUUCUUAAUUUUGCAACCCCUCAGCUUGGCACAAGAGAUAGCAUCCUAUAGUUCACCUGCUGCCACUUGCGUAGGGAAUAAAAAUAGCAACAGGUCUUCCAGACUCCAGUGUCCAACCCCACACAUUUUUAACACCCCUUGCAGGGAAUCCAUCUCUCUCUCCUCUCUCUCUCUCCCUCCAUCAGUUCAAACUUUCGCACAUGUGUUGGCAUCUUUCAUGCUUCUGUUAAACCAGAGUAUAGUUUUUCUUGUCCAGAGGUUUAGAAGCAAAACAAUUUGAGCUGCUAGAAGAUAAGGUGAUGACUUCCUGUUAGAGUUUAUCCAUUCUGAGGUUCAUUUUUACACUUCCGUGAAAGUGCUUUGAUUGAUCUCCAGAGCAAAGACACAGCAGUUCCUAAUUUGAAUGUUUCAGAACCGAUUGAGAGCCCUGGUUCAGCCACUGGGAUACAGGCCAAGCUGUCAGAACUUGUUUUGCUUUGUUACAGGAGAAGGCUAACGUAGGUGGGUGUGGAGGCUGCAAGGCAGGGAUUACACUUCCUGAAACUGCAGCCUUCCGUGAGGGGGUGUGAAAGCAAUCACAAUAGUGAACAGGAAAAGUUUAAUGGUGUUAUUUGAUUGAGACUUCGAAAGGUGAGACUGAAACACAGCACUACUAGUUCAUAGGUUGCCUUUUUUUUUCAUUAUUUCUUUUUUCUUUCAACAGCUUUUCUUUUCUGUAGCAAAGUGACUGAAGUAAAGUGGAUGUUAGGAGAUGUGAAAAUAUGAGAAGAGCUGGAAAUAAAGAAAUAAAGAGGAUCAGUUGUUCAAACAUUAUAAGCAGGAUUUUGCAUAAAAGAAAGAGGAUAGAUGAAUUGAUUUGUAUUUUUAUUGAUUAUUAUAGUACCGUAGGUAUCCAUGGGCUUCUCUGAUGGCCAAGAAUAUAAAACUAGGCCAAAUAUCAUGGUUUCUUCCAUUUAAAGCCAGGAAAACACCUUUGGCAGAAACAAAAUUAGAAGGUGGAAAGUUGCUGUUGGAUUGAGAUAUGAUUACCUUGAAUGUCCAACAACUUGUGGCAAUAUCAUCUAGUAAAUCUAAGUCAACACCAAUCUGUUGACUCAGAAGUCCCCCUUCUAGGCAUACCCCCAAGAUAAAUUUGUUCUCCAAAAAAAAAAAAAAAGUGAUUUCUUCAUAAGAGCCACAUCUGGAAACAACAAAAGUGUCCACAAAUAAGAAAACAAAUUAACACAUCACAGUGUUCAUACCAUUGAAUAUUGCAAUAUAGCAAAAACUGAAUAUAGCAAUAGAAAUGAAGUAUUUCUACAAAGAGCAAUAUGCAUAAAUCUCCCAAACAUUAGAAAAAGAGCAGGAGAAGCCAAACAUAAAAUAAUCUAUAGUGAAUUAUUCCCUCCAUAUGAAUUCCAAAAAUACCUAAAACUAUUGGAGAUUAAUUAUCCUCGCCCCUUCUCUGAAGGGAGAGGUAGCAGUUGGGAAUUCAUGGGGAAGGCAUGGGGAAACAUUCUGAUAUUCUAUUCAUAUUCUAUAAUCUGAAUAAUUAAGUAUUUUGGAAGGGGUUACAUAGGUGCAUAGCAUUAUGCAAAUCUUCAUCUAGGUAUAGUCUCAAGAUUUGGGCAUGUUAAUAUAUGAGUGUUACACUUCAGUUAAAACAGUUCAGUUUCUUUUAAUUCCCCUCAAAUAACAAUAUUAAUGAUAAUAGUUAGCAAUUACUGAAACUUUAUUAUGAUAAGAGUUUUGCAUUAAUUUCAUCACUUUCUCCCUAGAAUGAAGCCUAUUGCAUAGAAAUUUUUAAUUCCCAAUUCACAGAUUAUAAAAACUAAGGUUUAGAGAGGCUGACCAAGGUUCCACAGCAGGUUAAGUAGCAAAGCCAGGACUGGAACCUAGUUUGCAGUGGAGCUGAUCUGAAGGGAAGCAACUGGAAGCAAAGAAGAUGCAACUGCUGAGGACACAGGUGAGCCAUGUGACCAAUACAUUCCCAACAAGUUUUCCAUGCAGAGAUGAGUGAUGGCCAGAAGCAGGAGACAUACACACUGACCAUGACCUUGACUGACUACCAGACCUCAAUCUAAGCAGGAUGUGGAAAUGCAUCUUGUUCCAGUACAUCACAUUCCAGGGAACAACGAAUUCCUUUACAAAGCCGGGUGUCGUCAUUUUCUUAGAAGAACCACUGCAACGGACAGUCCUACAAUAUAGGGACUUUGAUCAUCUCCAGUGUGCCUAGGAGACAGGCUCACUAGUGAGGAGUGAUGCAGCCCAGGAAUCACAGUGAUCACACCACCAUAAUGUUCUACUAAGAAUGUCUUUCCUCCUCUAAGCAGUGCCUGUAAAUAGUGGGUGAUUCUUUGUCACCUCCCUGCUUCAGGAGUGAGCUUGUGACAGACCUGGCCAGUCAGCAAAUUCUCUCCUGCUGAUAAGACCGAUUAGGUCAGAGAUAGGCACAUGCCCUAAGUUUACCCAGUGAGGCUCAGCAGGAGCCUUCUAUUGGGAUUGUUGGGAAGAAUGUGGCGCCUCUCUAUUGGGGUGGUGGAGCUGUGUCAGUGUACAUACGCAGCUCCUAAACAUCACCGAUGGAGAGGGUUUGCUUGAGAAUGAAGCCCAUACAAGGAAAGACACACUGAGAGAGGAGACAAGCUUGCUGAUAGUCUAAUCAAAGAACCAAGGGAUGCGCUAACCCUAGUCUUCCCAGUGACAACAGAUUCAUUCUGAUUAAUUCAUUAAUCAACUGUGAGCUGAUUAAUAGUUGAUUAAUUACCACGUUUUGCUGAAGGCAUUCGAGUGGUGUUCCUGCUAUUUUUAACCAGAGUCCUGUUGGAUACAGUAUACACAACUGUGAGCCCUCAUGUCCUCUGUCUACCUCUAGGUACAGAACAGAGGGAAAGGAGGCAAUGGGGCUGAGCCCCAUCCCUGUGUGUACUGUUUUUGCCUUACUGCAGAUAGCACUGCCUCCUUCUGGUCUGUGGCUUUUGUCUCUGGAGACAGAAUCCUUGGCCCCCAACAGUAUCUACAUCCUAAUCCGUGGGACCUGUCUCCUGGCACAGGAGACUUUGCAGGUGUGCUGAAGGUAAGGAUUUCGAGAUGGGGAAAUUAUUAUGGAUUAUCCAAGCAAGUGCUAAAUAUAAUCAAAAUAGGGAGACAGGAGGAUGAGAAACAAGACACAUAUAUGACAGUGGAUGCAGAGGUGAAAGGAAGGGAGAGGGAGAAAGAAGAGAGGGAGACAUUUGACUCUGUUGGCCUUGAAGAUGGAGGAAGUUACUCUGAGCCAAGGAGUGAAGAUAGCCUCUAGAAGCCAGAAGAGGCAAGAAAAGGAUUUCUCUCCUGGAGCCCUGGCAGGGAUGCUGCCCUGCUGACACCUUCAUUUUGAGAAUUAUGACCUCCAGCAUGAUAGAGCAAUAAAUGUGUUUUAAGCCACUGUGGUUGUGGUCAUUUGUAUAGCAGUGAUAAACUAAUAUCAUCUCCUAAUCAUUCUUUCCGGGCCAUCUGUGUCUCCCUUUAAAUUACUCUCCUUUCUGCCACAAAAUCCUUUCUAAGACAGAGCUCAGGUCAUGUCACACCCAGCUCAGUGUUCCCCCAAUGCAUAUGGAAUAAGAUUGGCCUACUGGCGUGGCAUUUCACGAUCUUUACCAUCAGUUCCAACUCAGCUUCCCCCUCUUGCCUUCCUUCAGUCUCUCCUGUAUACUGUGUCUCUGAAAGCUGCAGCAUCUGAGUAUUUCCUGAGCAACCCUCGUCAUUGUUUCCAUGAUUGUUUCCUCCAGUCUGUGCAUCUGUUCUCUCUCCUUGCAUCUCUAAAUCUGUGUUGUCUUUCAGGGCCUGACUUUCAUGGCACUGCGUGCAUGAAUCUUUUCCCAAUAUUCCUCUCUAGUGAAAAAAAAUUUUUCAAUAAUUUUGUGUCUCUCUUGCCAUUCUUUUUGACUUUUAUCUUCUGUUGCUGUAAUUUAUAUAUGUCAGCUUUCUUUCCUGUUACAUAGGAGCCGGGUCUUUUGUAUUAUUUCUCAGAAUGCCUAGCAAAUACUAUGUGUUAAGUAUGUGUUUCUGGAAUCUGCUUGUUCAUCAGAGUUUCGUAAGGCAUUGAAAUAUAGGUCAGAUGCCCCCAUGAGCCAGGAAGGUGACACACAACAAUGAAUGAAGUGAACUUGUGAGCUUGUGGGAGACAAUACUGAGUGGUGACUACUGGUCAACUGGAAAGCCAGGGUCCCUUCCAAGAGGAGCAGCUGCCUCUGUGCUCUAUUCGAGACACACGACACUGUUGGUACCAUUUUUAACGGUUCAGUGAAAGUCUAGCGUCCAGAAUUCUAAGUAAAACGUUCUUGUGGCUAGAGCAGCCUAGCCUGUGGAAUGCUUUGAGUGACUUAUUCCCCUGUGGAGAUCCAUGAAUGCGUGGAUUCAUUAAUGAAUGGGAGCUUGGCUGGCCUUUUAAAACCACAUCUCUCAGUUUGGACAGCACAGCCCUUCCAGGUGGCACCUUGAGAUUUGUAUUUGCAGGCAACUUGGGAUGACUCAUCUUGAAAUGACCUCAGUUGUCAUUUAUCACAGCCAGAAGUUUAAAUAGAUACCUAAUUGCACUGAUGGUGAUUAUGAUUCCUGGAUAAAAUAUUUGGAUGUCCUUACAAGCAAAAAACAAAAUAAAAAACAAACUUUUUUUUUUUUUUUUUUUGCUGUUUUUUAUUUGGGACACAAUUUUGGAAAAAGCAUGGAAGGUUCCUGUAGAUGAGAAGGGCAAUGUGGGUGGGUGAAUUUGCAGGCUCAAAACCCAUUCUUCUGUCAUCAAAAUAUUAUCAGAACUUGACCAUCAUCCAAGUAGAGAAACUACCAGGAGAAGAUCAGAGGGAUCAGCUCACAAUUAUCCAGCACCUAUAAAAUUCAAGACACUCUGUUAUCAUAUAUUUGCUCUUAUUUAAUGGGUGUGCAAAGGAGCCCAUUAUUUUCAGUUUGAAAUUGUGCUCAUGUAAACCUUCAGUUCUGAUUUUAACAGUAUGAUCUUUGUGGAAGAAAGGAGUCUAAUG